UACGUAGGGUGCGAGCGUUAAUCGGAUUUACUGGGCGUAAAGCGAGCGCAGGUGGUUUAAUAAGUCUGAUGUAAAAGGCAGUGGCUCAACCAUUGUGUGCAUUGGAAACUGUUAGACUUGAGUGCAGUAGAGGAGAGUGGAAUUCCAUGUGUAGCGGUGAAAUGCGUAGAUAUCGGGAGGAACACCAGUAGCGAAGGCGGCCAUCUGGCUGAUAACUGACGCUGAGGUGCGAGAGCGUGGGGAGCAAACAGG
rnacentral:rRNA from 1 species